UUGUGUGCUGAAUUAACAAAAGCAAAUGGGCUUUUGGCUCAUGGUUGUAUGCUGACCCGAAAACAACAACAUGAAGGAUUAGGUCUUGCAGUGCCGCCGUUCUCUCUUCUUCCCAUCCAUCUCACAUACUUAUUACUCAUUUUUUAAGUUUCUGUUAUUAAAUUUCUACCCAUCUCAUCACCUCUUUAAUAUUUUGGAUUGAGUUGCUUCCAUUAAAUUUGAUGUUAUCAAACAAAUUCACACGACUGCUUCAGAUCUACUGCUGCACUGCUCUUCAUUGUCUCCCUUUCUUCUAUUUUUCAGUUUUUUUU
rnacentral:lncRNA from 1 species